GAGGAACUAAUACUAAAUGGCAUUGAGAGUAACCGAGUUAGAGGAGGCUUGAUAAUUACAUAUAUGGUAUAGUGUAGUUAAAGACAAAACAUACUUUUGUGAUAUCCAAGGGAAACGAAUUAUACCUUUUCCUUCUUAGGGUAAAAGUCUUAUAUACAUGGAGAUGUGCAAUUUCUCCCUUGGAAUCUUUUGAUACUCUAAAGUUGCUGUGAUUCGUUUGAUUGACACUUGUAUAAAUUAUAAAAUCGACAUCGGCUACAAUCAUUACUUCAUUACAAACACAGCAUUUUAUCGAGACUGAGCACUAGUAUCACCAUCUUUUACCCUGAACAUGUUUGCAUUGCCUUUUCUGUUUUGAGUUGUGACAUCAACCACAGCAAGACAAUAUUAUCAAUACUAACUCCUGUGUCCUUAGUCCUUACACAAGGUCCUUAUCUCUGAUUUAGUACUAUUAUGCAGUGGGUGUGCGAUCUCUCGUGGACGUCUCUGAUUUAGGUACCUCAUGGCUUGUAUCGAUUAUUGUUCCAUUUCAGUCCAUAAGUCUGACGGUGCAGGAUUCAUGAUCUUGGCUGCUGCAGCAAGGAUCAGGUGCCAUGUCUUAGUUCCUGAUGUCACUCAUUCCGAAAUUGUCAUAUGAAUCUG
rnacentral:lncRNA from 1 species